UUCCACAGCUACUGGUCUGCAGCUGUUCUCAUGGUGGCAGUUGUGGCAUUCCUCUGUGGGAAAGAAAUUGUUACACGAUUAAACACCUCUUUCUUAGCAAAACAGAAAGGGGGCAUAUGUGUGACAAACAUGA
rnacentral:snoRNA from 12 species